CCUACGGGUGGCUGCAGUGGGGAAUAUUGGACAAUGGGCGAAAGCCUGAUCCAGCCAUGCCGCGUGUGUGAAGAAGGCCUUCGGGUUGUAAAGCACUUUCAGUGGGGAAGAAAGCCUUGGGGCUAAUACCCUCGAGGAAGGACAUCACCCACAGAAGAAGCACCGGCUAACUCCGUGCCAGCAGCCGCGGUAAUACGGAGGGUGCGAGCGUUAAUCGGAAUUACUGGGCGUAAAGCGCGCGUAGGCGGUCUGAUAAGCCGGUUGUGAAAGCCCCGGGCUCAACCUGGGAACGGCAUCCGGAACUGUCAGGCUAGAGUGCAGGAGAGGAAGGUAGAAUUCCCGGUGUAGCGGUGAAAUGCGUAGAGAUCGGGAGGAAUACCAGUGGCGAAGGCGGCCUUCUGGACUGACACUGACGCAGGGGUGCGAAAGCGUGGGUAGCAAACAGGAUUAGAUACCCCAGUAGUC
rnacentral:rRNA from 1 species